UACGAAGGGGGCCAGCGUUGUUCGGAAUUACUGGGCGUAAAGCGCACGUAGGCGGCGAUCCAAGUCAGGGGUGAAAUCCCGGGGCUCAACCCCGGAACUGCCCUUGAAACUAGGUUGCUAGAAUACUGGAGAGGUGAGUGGAAUUCCGAGUGUAGAGGUGAAAUUCGUGGAUAUUCGGAAGCACACCAGUGGCGAAGGCGACUCACUGGACAGUUAUUGACGCUGAGGUGCGAAAGCGUGGGGAGCAAACAGG
rnacentral:misc_RNA from 1 species